AAGUCGUAACAAGGUCUCCGUUGGUGAACCAGCGGAGGGAUCAUUACUGAGUACUACACUCUCUACCCUUUGUGAACUAUUAUACCUGUUGCUUCGGCGGCGCCCGCAAGGGUGCCCGCCGGUCUCAUCAGAAUCUCUGUUUUCGAACCCGACGAUACUUCUGAGUGUUCUUAGCGAACUGUCAAAACUUUUAACAACGGAUCUCUUGGCUCCAGCAUCGAUGAAGAACGCAGCGAAACGCGAUAUGUAAUGUGAAUUGCAGAAUUCAGUGAAUCAUCGAAUCUUUGAACGCACAUGGCGCCUUCCAGUAUCCUGGGAGGCAUGCCUGUCCGAGCGUCGUUUCAACCCUCGAGCCCCUGUGGCCCGGCGUUGGGGAUCUGCCACGGCAGGCCCCUAAAACCAGUGGCGGACCCGAAGGGCCCUCUCCUUUGCGCAGUAGCAUUCGCCUCGCAUCGGGAGUCCUCGGCGUCCUGCCUCUAAACCCCCCACAAGCCCGCUUCGGCGGCACCAAGGUUGACCUCGGAUCAGGUAGGAAUACCCGCUGAACUUAAGCAUAUCAAAG
rnacentral:rRNA from 1 species